rnacentral:rRNA from 1 species
GCACCGCCGUCGUCAGUUCGUACCGUAAGGCUUUCUCUUAAGUGAGAUAACGAACGAGACCCUCAUCUAUAAUUGCUACUUCAUUCUCCGGAAUGGAGGCACAUUAUCGAGACCGCUGGCGCUAAGUCAGAGGAAGGAGAGGUCAACGGUAGGUCAGUAUGCCCCGAAUCUCUUGGGCUACACGCGCGCUACAAAGGGCGGGACAAUGGGCUACGACGCCGAAAGGCGAAGUCAAUCUCGAAACCCGUCCGUAGUUCGGAUUGAGGCUAGUAACUCAGCCUCAUGAAGCUGGAUUCCGUAGUAAUCGCGAA